rnacentral:misc_RNA from 1 species
AACUGAUACUACCUGCGGGAACCUGCGGAGGGAUCAUUAAUGAGAAACUGCCCCUCGCGGGUAGAUCUCCCACCCUUUGUAAACUUACCUUUGUUGCUUUGGUAGGCCCGUCUCCGGACCGCCGGCUUCGGCUGGCCAGUGCCUGCCAGAGGAUUCUAAAACUCUGUCUGUCAGUGUUGUCUGAGUCUAUAUACAAUCGUUAAAACUUUUAACAACGGAUCUCUAGAUCGGAAGAGCACA